rnacentral:rRNA from 1 species
GACGAACGCUGGCGGCGUGCUUAAUACAUGCAAGUGGAGCGACGAACCAGGCUUCGGCCUGGGGCAGAGCCGCGAACGGGUGAGUAACACGUGGGUAACCUGCCUCGAUGACCGGGACAACCCGGGGAAACCCGGGCUAAUACCGGAUGUGCUGUCCCCACAUCAGUGGAGACAGGAAAGGAAGCUUCGGCCUCCGCAUCGAGAUGGGCCCGCGGCCCAUUAGCUUGUUGGUGUGGUAACGGCUCACCAAGGCUGCGAUGGGUAGCUGGUCUGAGAGGACGAUCAGCCACACUGGGACUGAGACACGGCCCAGACUCCUACGGGAGGCAGCAGUAGGGAAUCUUGCGCAAUGCGCGAAAGCGUGACGCAGCAACGCCGCGUGGGGGAAGAAGGCC